CGGCAAAAGCUCAAAUUUGAAAUCUGGUACCUUCGGUGCCCGAGUUGUAAUUUGGAGAGGGCAACUUUGGGGCCGUUCCUUGUCUAUGUUCCUUGGAACAGGACGUCAUAGAGGGUGAGAAUCCCGUGUGGCGAGGAGUGCGGUUCUUUGUAAAGUGCCUUCGAAGAGUCGAGUUGUUUGGGAAUGCAGCUCUAAGUGGGUGGUAAAUUCCAUCUAAAGCUAAAUAUUGGCGAGAGACCGAUAGCGAACAAGUACAGUGAUGGAAAGAUGAAAAGAACUUUGAAAAGAGAGUGAAAAAGUACGUGAAAUUGUUGAAAGGGAAGGGCAUUUGAUCAGACAUGGUGUUUUGUGCCCUCUGCUCCUUGUGGGUAGGGGAAUCUCGCAUUUCACUGGGCCAGCAUCAGUUUUGGUGGCAGGAUAAAUCCAUAGGAAUGUAGCUUGCCUCGGUAAGUAUUAUAGCCUGUGGGAAUACUGCCAGCUGGGACUGAGGACUGCGAC
rnacentral:rRNA from 1 species